UACAGAGGGUGCAAGCGUUAAUCGGAAUUACUGGGCGUAAAGCGCGCGUAGGUGGUUCGUUAAGUUGGAUGUGAAAUCCCCGGGCUCAACCUGGGAACUGCAUUCAAAACUGACGAGCUAGAGUAUGGUAGAGGGUGGUGGAAUUUCCUGUGUAGCGGUGAAAUGCGUAGAUAUAGGAAGGAACACCAGUGGCGAAGACGACCACCUGGACUGAUACUGACACUGAGGUGCGAAAGCGUGGGGAGCAAACAGG
rnacentral:rRNA from 1 species